rnacentral:rRNA from 1 species
UACGUAGGUGGCAAGCGUUGUCCGGAAUUAUUGGGCGUAAAGCGCGCGCAGGCGGUCCUUUAAGUCUGAUGUGAAAGCCCACGGCUCAACCGUGGAGGGUCAUUGGAAACUGGGGGACUUGAGUACAGAAGAGAAGAGUGGAAUUCCACGUUGUAGCGGUGAAAUGCGUAGAGAUGUGGAGGAACACCAGUGGCGAAGGCGACUCUUUGGUCUGUAACUGACGCUGAGGCGCGAAAGCGUGGGGAGCAAACAGG